rnacentral:rRNA from 1 species
CUACGGAGGGUGCAAGCGUUGUUCGGAAUUAUGGGGCGUAAAGAGCAUGUAGGCGGACUGUUAAGUCUGGUGUGAAAGCCCGGGGCUCAACCCCGGAAGUGCAUUGGAUACUGGCAGUCUUGAGUAUGGGAGAGGAAAGUGGAAUUCCGAGUGUAGGAGUGAAAUCCGUAGAUAUUCGGAGGAACACCAGUGGCGAAGGCGGCUUUCUGGACCAAUACUGACGCUGAGAUGCGAAAGCGUGGGGAGCGAACAGGAUUAGAUACCCUAGUAGUCC